UCCCAAGUGGAUGAAUGAAGCUCUCCUCACAAGCAUGCACAACGGCUCCACGCCAAAGCUUCCCACAGAACACAGAACCUGGCUAUAAGGCUCCAUCAAACGGCAGGUUUCUCUCUCUCUCCAACUCACCCACUGAAAGUUUCAGAGACACGGGAGAGCAGAACCCUAGAACAAUGAGGCAAUCUUCAACAUCACAACUAACAACUCCUAUUUAUUAAGCAUUUGUAUGUGUAAAACUGUGCCAUGAGUUUUCCAUUCAUUCCCUUGCAGAAUCUCCAGCCUCAUUUAAGAGGCACUGAGAUCCAUGGAAGUCAAAUAACCAAGAGGUAACAACCUCAAAGUUGCAAGCUCAGAUAUGCUGCUAACUUCCUUGUCUGACACUAGGCAGCCCCCUCCUCUGUCUGUAACCAAAGAAAUUCAUAAAGUUCAGGCCCAAAGACGAACUAGCCAUCAACUAAAUCUAAGGAGUAACCUAUUAAGUACUUUUACAGAAA
rnacentral:lncRNA from 1 species